AAAUUGAAGAGUUUGAUCAUGGCUCAGAUUGAACGCUGGCGGCAGGCCUAACACAUGCAAGUCGAACGGUAACAGGAAGAAGCUUGCUUCUUUGCUGACGAGUGGCGGACGGGUGAGUAAUGUCUGGGAAACUGCCUGAUGGAGGGGGAUAACUACUGGAAACGGUAGCUAAUACCGCAUAAUGUCGCAAGACCAAAGAGGGGGACCUUCGGGCCUCUUGCCAUCGGAUGUGCCCAGAUGGGAUUAGCUAGUAGGUGGGGUAACGGCUCACCUAGGCGACGAU
rnacentral:rRNA from 1 species